GACAGAGGGUGCGAACGUUGUUCGGAAUUACUGGGCGUAAAGCGCGUGUAGGCGGCCAUGUAAGUCGGGCGUGAAAUCCCACGGCUCAACCGUGGAAGUGCACCCGAAACUGCGUGGCUAGAGUCCUGGAGAGGAAGGUGGAAUGCUUGGUGUAGAGGUGAAAUUCGUAGAUAUCAAGCGGAACACCGGUGGCGAAGGCGGAUCUCUGGGCCUUACCUGACGCUGAGGAGCGAAAGCAUGGGGAGCAAACAGG
rnacentral:rRNA from 1 species